rnacentral:rRNA from 1 species
UACGUAGGGUCCGAGCGUUGUCCGGAAUUACUGGGCGUAAAGAGCUCGUAGGUGGUUUGUCGCGUUGUUCGUGAAAACUCACAGCUCAACUGUGGGCGUGCGGGCGAUACGGGCAGACUAGAGUACUGCAGGGGAGACUGGAAUUCCUGGUGUAGCGGUGGAAUGCGCAGAUAUCGGGAGGAACACCGGUGGCGAAGGCGGCGACCUGGGUAGAUACUGACGCUGAGGCGCGAAAGCGUGGGGAGCAAACAGG